rnacentral:lncRNA from 1 species
UCGUUUUGAGGCCAUUGACAUUGGGCGCUCACACAAAGAAAAAAGAAAGGAGAAAAAACCAAAGUUUUCCCCCUUUUAAUAUUCAGCCGAUCAAUGGUCUCCCCAAAUGACUGUUCUUCUGCCUCUUCUUUCGACCCAUAGAGUGGUCAAUCGAGGUUUCAUUGAACCAAGGGGAUUCAUGGGUCUCGCUUACCAGCCCCAAAUCAACAUUGUAUUUCGACGGUAGUAAAACAAGUGGGGACUCGAACGCUUCGAAACGCAGGUAAGCUUCGUCACUUUCUUUUUCUUUUUGAUGAUAAAAUAACAGAGGACUUGAGUAAAUAAAAACAAGAAGAGCAGAGAAUUAAAAAAAGGGAGAAGGGAAAAUCACCUUCUUUUCGUCUAUUUUUUCUUUUGCUUUGCUAUUGCAUAUGUAUCUCUUUCUAUUUUGAAAAGGGGGAACCCCUCUUUACAAUUGAAACAAAGGUUUUAUAGCCGAAGAGAAAACCAAAAGGACAAAAUAAAAAAUUGAAAUACAAAUUUCAUUCCUCUCUCUUUGCUUCGUUUGUUUGUAUUUGCUAUGCGUUUGUAUGUUUUUGCAGGUACGGGGCGUGUGUACGAGGGCUGGGCGCUGGCGCUGGAGGGUACGGAGACUGGGUCAAUGUAGCUGCUGAGGCGUUGGCACCAUGCAGGGUCUAGAGGCUGUAGAGGGUUGCGGCGCAAACGAGGGAGGGAUGACCUAGGGUUGCUGAAACCUUUUGGGCCAUUUGGGCUCACUUUCAGUAUUGGGCCAUCAGAUUUGGGCUAGAGGGACUGUUUUGGGUAUUUGGGUUUGUAAUAGGACAUUAUUGGCCAUGUAAUUUUUUUUUGGGUUUUUAAUUAUAUUUAUUUAUUUACUUGGUUUGUUUGUAACGGGCCUAGGCAUAUUUGGCCCACUAUACCCCCUUCUAACAUUUUUCCCUUAUCGGUAAACUUCCUUUCGUUUUCCUUUGAUUCAGUCUGUGAAUCCUUUAUUCAAUCAUCGCUACUGUGAUUUCUUGGUUCUUCAAUCGGCUGGUAAGUAAAACUUUGCAUCCUUUUAACUUUUGGUUUGAGUUUAGUGAUGUUAAACUGUAGUGAUUAAUUGGCGGAUUCUGUGAUUAGGUGAAGGUUAUGAGGCGGAGAAUUGCACUCCAACAGAUAGUGUGCGUUAGAGGUGGUUUGUCGUCGGUGGUUAUAAGUCAGCUUUGUGUUGGUUCUUGUUGACGAAUUCAUUUAUCAAACUUCUAAAUCGGUGUUGGGUAUUUUGUUUUUAGGUUUCUAAAGGCUCGGGAUUGUUUUCGCAUCGAAAUGAAUCAAGUGUGCACUCCUAACACGAAAAAAUCAAGCUUCUGCGAAAGCCGAAAAAGCAUUCUGUCGACGCCACACGGACGUGUGCUUGACCAUGUGACUGGCUAUGUGUGAGACACAGCCGUAUGUUUGACAACAGCAUGGCCAUGCGCAGGACACGACCGUGUAAUGGUGUGAGAGUGGCCGUGUGGGCCCACACGGGAAUGCCACAUGGGUGUGUGGGUUUUGGGCCAGGCCGUGUGGGCCAUACGGGCUUGUAAACCUACACGGGCAUGCGGGCUCAUAAUUCUAAAACUUUCUCUAGGGUCGCACGAGUCGUUCCGAUUGACUAUGGGCCUACCGUAGGGUUGGUAAAUGCUAACCAAAACCUAUUUUGUGUGCGAUGGUAUUCUAAUAGACUAAUCUGAGUAAGAUACUAAAUGUAUGUUUGACUAUACUAUUUAAGUAUGUAUCCAUUUGUAUACGAGCAUGUUAAGCAUGUUUAAUCUGAUAUAUCUGCAUUUGUAUUUUGUAUCUGUGUUUGGAGAUGGGAAUUAUAUAUAUAUGUGGAGGAAGUGAUCUGUAUGGUGACUCUUCGCCUAUAUUCUGGCAGCUUGUCUGCAUAUUAUCUGAUAUGUGCUGCAUCAACACUAUAUGGUGCGUAGGGAUGGGUGGGUGUUUUUAACCUCACUUGGUGUGAUGGGAUGGUCAGAGAUGGUGUGUAAAGGAUGGGUGUAGGACUCUGAAUAUCUGCUCUGUUUAUCUAAUUCUAUUAUCUGCAUCUGUCAUGAAUCUAAGUCCACAUCUGUAUCUGUCUGUAUAUGAGAUUUUUGUGUAUAUUGCAUGUCUACUUCUGUUGGGUUACACACUGAGUUUACGAAAACUCACAUCUGUUUGUUUGUUAUGUACAGGUAAUCCACAGACUUAAAAGGAUCAGUGCGACGGAGUCUCACGGUGAUCACAAGUUUAUGAACUGAAUUUAAAUAUUGGUUUUUAUUUAAUUAAGGAUUAUUUAUGAGAGUUAUGUAAUUUUAGACUCUCCAGAUUGUUUGAUUUUUUUUUUUGGAUUUGGAUUUCGUUUUGACUCUUUUAUCAUGACUGUUGACUAGAAACUUUGUUUUACAAAAACAAAGAUUUUCUUUCCUAAAAAUACGAAUUAGAUUUCCAAAAUAUAACGGUUUCAAAGACUUUCGCUCUAAA